rnacentral:hammerhead_ribozyme from 1 species
GCACAGCUGACGAGUCCAAAACAGGACGAAACAGCUGUCUAGUGA